rfam:Oryza glumipatula chromosome 12, whole genome shotgun sequence.
GGGAGAUGAGGAGUGGUAACAUCUCGCAACUUUUACUGCGAGAGGGGUGCCCGCCCCAACCCAAGCCUGUUACGACAACAGGGGCAUCCCCAUCAUUUUACCAUCUGAUCCC